rnacentral:rRNA from 1 species
GACAGAGGUGCCGAGCGUUAGGCGGAAUCACUGGGCUUAAAGCGUGUGUAGGCGGGCCGUUAAGUAUCUUGUGAAAUCCCCCGGCUCAACCGGGGAAUGGCUGGAUAUACUGGCGGUCUUGAGCGAUCUAGGGGCAGAUGGAACAAGUGGUGGAGCGGUGAAAUGCGUAGAUAUCACUUGGAACGCCAAAGGUGAAAACAGUCUGCUGGGGAUCUGCUGACGCUGAGACACGAAAGCCAGGGGAGCGGACGGG